CAUAAUAGCAAAAAAACUCCACGGCGGCAACAGCCACCAGGAAGCUCCUCCACGCCAUGGUUGUGGGCUCCCAUGGCGAGCAGUUUUCCUGCCCAUGGCGCGACGCCGCUGCUCUCUUUUUUCCCCAUCUCGCUGUGCUCUCUUGGCCGGCAGCAGCAGGGAGCCACCAGCAGCCAUGGCGCCCAUGCCCCCUGUUUUUUUCCAGGGCGCCCAGCAGAUGCAGCCAUGGCCGAGCUCCUUGGGAGCACGCCGGCGCCCUGCUCUUCUCCAUGGCCAAGUCCCCUGGUGCAGGCGCCCCUUCCCCUUGGUCGCUGCCUUCGCUGCGUGUGUGGGGUUGCCAGCAGGAGCUCCUCCAUGGCCGCCGACGCCCUGCAGCUUCCCUUGCCGGCGCCAAACAGCAGCACAUCUCCCUCCUCUUUCUCUGUUCUUGCCAUGGCCGAACCCCCUCUCCCAGCCAGCGUCGCCCUUCUUCCCCCAAAAGCAGAGAGCAGCCGCUCCCAUAUCCCUACAACGCGCUGUCAGUCUUUCCACCCAGCCGGCUCCUCUUCUUCCCUAUGGUCGAGCAGCGCCUACCCUCCCUGAUUUAUUUUCUUGCGCAAGAUAUUGCCUUGGGACUCGACGCCGCCUCCCCAAGUGCAGCCAUGUCCGAGCUUCAUUUUUUUCCCUGCUCUGGCCAAGCCCCUUCCGUGCAUGGUGGUUGGCUUCGCUGCUGCUCGCUCGCUCCCUUGUUGUGCAGCGCCAAGUAGCAGCAGCACGCCGCGCGCGCCACCUGUUUGACGCAAUGCCGAGUCAGGUCGCUGUGCGUCGUCAGCCACCCGUGGGCUCUGCCACGCCAACCAACAGCCACAACAACCCCUUCGUGGCGGGUGCCCCACCUUGCCACGCCACGGUGCCCGUCGUGCUCCUUCGACUUCGCUUCGAUCUCACGCGAUUGACGGCGCGUUCGUCUUCACGCCACAUGUGCAGCAACCACGACUGAGGUUUGAUAUGGACCGAGAGAUGACGAUCGUGCAAGUGAUGUGGUGCCACCCACAAGAUGCAGUCGGUGGACGAACCAAGGAAGGAUGGACUUAACUAGUGGAUGCUCGCCGAGCGAGUAUCUCCCCCAGCAAACACUAUCUAAGUGUCAAAUAAAAGGUACUCCUUAGGGUGAUUGGUUGAUGGUGUGACUUGGCCUUCAUCCCUACCACCGGGAUAGACGGUCGAGAGGGUUAUUGCUUCCGCAGGAGAGGACCAGGAGGAGUAGCGUGGCCAGGCUUCGCCAUGUUACUCGGUUUUCUCCGUUAGUUAUUUCCGCUGCAUUAAAAUUUAUCGUUAUUAUUUCU
rnacentral:misc_RNA from 1 species